rnacentral:rRNA from 1 species
AACAAACGCUGGCGGCGUGCCUAACACAUGCAAGUCGAACGCGAAAAUCGGCUUCGGCCGAUGAGUAAAGUGGCGCACGGGUGAGUAACGCGUGGAUAAUCUACCCUUCAGUUGGGAAUAACUUAUCGAAAGGUGAGCUAAUACCGAAUAAAACUGCCUGACCACGGUCGGGUAGUCAAAGAUAGCCUCUGCUUGCAAGCUUUCGCUGAAUGAUGAGUCCGCGUACCAUUAGCUUGUUGGUGGGGUAAUGGCCUACCAAGGCUGCGAUGGUUAGCUGGUCUGAGAGGAUGAUCAGCCAACUGGAACUGAGACACGGUCCAGACUCCUAGGGAGGCAGCAGUGAGGAAUAUUGCGCAAUGGGGGCAACCCUGACGCAGCAACGCCGCGUGAGUGAGGAAGGUUUUCGGACCGUAAAGCUCUGUCGAGUGGGAAGAAGUGUAUCAUGGCUAAUAUCCGUGAUAUUUGACGGUACCGCUAGAGGAAGACCG